GUGGGUUGUACGGUCCAGCCUUUGGUUAGUACUGCUAUGGCCUACCUUUCUGCGGGGACGAGCUCCUGGGCUUAACUGUCCGGGACUCGGAAUCGGCGAGGUUACUUUGAGUAAAUUAGAGUGUUCAAAGCAAGCCUACGCUCUGAAUACAUUACAUGGAAUAACACGAUAGGACUCUGGCUUAUCUUGUUGGUCUGUAAGCACCGGAGUAAUGAUUAAGAGGGACAGUCGGGGGCAUUCGUAUUUCAUUGUCAGACGGUGAAAUCUCUUGGAUUCAUGAAAGCACGAACUUCUGCGAAAGCAUUUGCCAAGGCAUGUCUUCAUUACUCAUCGAACCCAACAGUUGGGGGCUCGAAAGACGAUUAGAUACCGCUCGUAGUCUCAACCAUACAAUCGAU
rnacentral:rRNA from 1 species